AAUAAGUGCAGUUUUGCACUAUUCACGUUCAACGUUUGACCGUCCGUCUUAUUUGAAAAAUNAUAAAAAAAUUUCAAAUAAGACGGACGGUCAAACGUUGAACGUGAAUAGUGCAAAACUGCACUUAUU
rnacentral:pre_miRNA from 1 species